rnacentral:rRNA from 1 species
GAUGAACGCUGGCGGCGUGCCUAUACAUGCAAGUCGAGCGGACCAAAGAGAGCUUGCUCUCUGAGGUUAGCGGCGGACGGGUGAGUAACACGUGGGUAACCUGCCUGUAAGACGGGGAUAACUUCGGGAAACCGAAGCUAAUACCGGAUGAUAAAGAGAAACGCCUGUUUCUUUUUUGAAAGUCGGCCUUGUGCUGACGCUUACAGAUGGGCCCGCGGCGCAUUAGCUAGUUGGUGAGGUAACGGCUCACCAAGGCGACGAUGCGUAGCCGACCUGAGAGGGUGAUCGGCCACACUGGGACUGAGACACGGCCCAGACUCCUACGGGAGGCAGCAGUAGGGAAUCUUCGGCAAUGGACGAAAGUCUGACCGAGCAACGCCGCGUGAGCGAUGAAGGCCUUCGGGUCGUAAAGCUCUGUUGUCAGAGAAGAACAAGUACCGGAGUAACUGCCGGUACCUUGACGGUACCUGACCAGAAAGCCACGGCUAACUACGUGCCAGCAGCCGCCGUAACAC